AUCGAACGCUGGCGGCAGGCCUAACACAUGCAAGUCGAGCGGAGCGGCGGACGGGUGAGUAAAGCCUAGGAAUCUGCCUGGUAGAGGGGGAUAACGUCCGGAAACGGGCGCUAAUACCGAAUACUAUCAGAUGAGCCGAGGUCGGAUUAGCUCGUUGGUGGGGUAAAGGCCUAACAAGGAGACGAUCCGAAACUGGUCUGAGAGGGUGUUCAGUCACACUGGAACUGAGACACGGUCCAGACUCCUACGGGAGGCAGCAGUGGGGAAUAUUGGGCAAUGGGCGAAAGCCUUAUCCAGCCAUGCCGCGUGUGUGAAGAAGGUCUUCGGAUUGUAAAGCACUUUAAGUUGGGAGGCGUUACCUACAGAUUAAGCACCGGCUAACUUCGUGCCAGCCGCCGCGGUAAUUC
rnacentral:rRNA from 1 species